AAAGCAUGUAGGGAGGCCAUCUGGUUCCCUAGUCUGGGGCGUGUCUGCGAGCUUCUGGUACAGUGGAAACAGGUGAUGUACCGAGAAGUGAGGACCAGCCGCCUGGCUGCUCUAACCCUUUGUCUAUGUAUACCUCUUGUUGCUUUCUCGGCGGGGACGCUCGCCGGCUGAAAGCCAAACCAAACUCCUUUUUGCAGUAGAAAUCACUUCUGAUGUAAGCAAAAAUUAUUUA
rnacentral:misc_RNA from 1 species